CCGUGUUUCAGGACAAUUUGCACAUCGUCCGUUACGUCCAAUCGGUUUCUUAAUUCCAUUUUAAUUACGAUCGCUGAAAAGAAUCCAAACUCACAGAAAUAUGUAUUAGCAAAUUGAAUAAAAAAAUUCCCUUGCACUGGUAUACAGCUCACGGAUAAACCUUCGUCAAUAUACAUGCAAAUUCGAUUAUAUUUUUUGUUUGAAAAUCGCGGUGCGCCAUUUCUUUUGAUAUUAAAUCAAUUAAUUCGUUUUUAACAAAGUC